UAGGAUGCUUGCAAUCAUGAAGACAAGGAUUU
rnacentral:piRNA from 1 species